CCCCAGUAACGGCGAGUGAAGCGGCAACAGCUCAAAUUUGAAAUCUGGCCCCCCCCGGGGGGCCCGAGUUGUAAUUUGCAGAGGAUGCUUUGGGCGAGGCGCCUUCCGAGUUCCCUGGAACGGGACGCCACAGAGGGUGAGAGCCCCGUCUGGUCGGACGCCGAGCCUCUGUAAAGCUCCUUCGACGAGUCGAGUAGUUUGGGAAUGCUGCUCAAAAUGGGAGGUAUAUGUCUUCUAAAGCUAAAUACCGGCCAGAGACCGAUAGCGCACAAGUAGAGUGAUCGAAAGAUGAAAAGCACCUUGAAAAGGGGGUUAAACAGUACGUGAAAUUGUUGAAAGGGAAGCGCUCGUGACCAGACUUGGGUCGGGCGGAUCAGCCGGCGUUCUCGCCGGCGCACUCCGCCCCGCCCCAGGCCAGCAUCAGUUCGCGCCGGGGGACAAAGGCGGCGGGAACGUGGCUCCCCAGGGAGUGUUAUAGCCCGCCGCGCCAUGCCCCGGGGGCGGACUGAGGGCCGCGCAUCACUGCAAGGAUGCUGGCGUAAUGGUCACCAGCGACCCGUCUUGAAACACGGGCCAAGGAGUCGUCCUCGUAUGCGAGUGUUCGGGUGUCAAACCCCUACGCGGAAUGAAAGUGAACGUGGGUGAGAGCUUCGGCGCAUCAUCGACCGAUCCUGAUGUUCUCGGAUGGAUUUGAGUAGGAGCAUACGGGGCCGGACCCGAAAGAAGGUGAACUAUGCCUGUGUAGGGUGAAGCCAGAGGAAACUCUGGUGGAGGCUCGCAGCGGUUCUGACGUGCAAAUCGAUCGUCAAACAUGGGCAUGGGGGCGAAAGACU
rnacentral:rRNA from 1 species